rnacentral:rRNA from 1 species
GAUGAACGCUGGCGGCGUGCCUAAUACAUGCAAGUCGAGCGAACGGACGAGAAGCUUGCUUCUCUGAUGUUAGCGGCGGACGGGUGAGUAACACGUGGAUAACCUACCUAUAAGACUGGGAUAACUUCGGGAAACCGUAGCUAAUACCGGAUAAUAUUUUGAACCGCAUGGUUCAAAAGUGAAAGACGUUCUUGCUGUCACUUAUAGAUGGAUCCGCGCUGCAUUAGCUAGUUGGUAAGGUAACGGCUUACCAAGGCAACGAUGCAUAGCCGACCUGAGAGGGUGACCAGCCACACUGGAACUGAGACACGGCCCAGACUCCUACGGGAGGCAGCAGUAGGGAAUCUUCGGCAAUGGGCGAAAGCCUGACGGAGCAACGCCGCGUGAGUGAUGAAGGUCUUCGGAUCGUAAAACUCUGUUAUUAGGGAAGAAAAUAUGUGUAAGUAACUGUGCACAUCUUGACGGUACCUAAUCAGAAAGCAACGGCUAACUACGUG